AAUUCUCAAACUUAUUAGCUUUUGCUGAUAAUGGCUUGGACGUGGGGGUUUUCUCUUUUGCUGGCUUCUUUUAUAGAGGUCAGCUCCCCUUAAAUGCAUUAGCCGGUGCUCCGCGUGGACUGUCUAUUUGGUGUGAUAAUUAUCUACGCCUUGGAUGUCUGCAAUGGGUUUUGCGCUGCUUCUAACUGUCUAUUCGUUUGGACAAUACAUGACA
rnacentral:misc_RNA from 1 species